GAUGAACGCUAGCGAUAGGCUUAACACAUGCAAGUCGAGGGGCAGCACAAGGUAGCUUGCUCUCUGGGUGGCGACCGGCGCACGGGUGCGUAACGCGUAUGCAACUUGCCCUAUACAGGAGGAUAACCCGUCGAAAGACGGACUAAUACUGCGUAUGCUCACAACUUGGCAUCAAGUGGUGAGGAAAGAAAUUCGGUAUAGGAUAGGCAUGCGUCCCAUUAGCUUGUUGGUGAGGUAACGGCUCACCAAGGCAACGAUGGGUAGGGGAACUGAGAGGUUUAUCCCCCACACUGGUACUGAGACACGGACCAGACUCCUACGGGAGGCAGCAGUGAGGAAUAUUGGGCAAUGGGCGCGAGCCUGAACCAGCCAAGUCGCGUGAAGGAGGACUGUCUUAGGGAUUGUAAACUUCUUUUAUACGGGAAUAACAAGAGUCACGUGUGACUCCCUGCAUGCACCGUAUGAAUAAGCAUCGGCUAACUCCGUG
rnacentral:rRNA from 1 species